AUUGAACGCGGGCGGCAGGCCUAACACAUGCAAGUCGAACGAGUGGCGGACGGGUGAGUAAUGUAUGGGAAACUGCCUGAUGGAGGGGGAUAACUAAUGGAAACGGUAGCUAAUACCGCAUACCAUCAGAUGUGCCCCGAUGGGAUUAGCUUGUUGGUGGGGUAAAGGCUCACCAAGGCGACGAUCCCUUGCUGGUCUGAGAGGAGGACAAGCUACACUGGAACUGAUACACGGUCCAGACUCCUACUGGAGGCAGCAGUGGGGAAUAUUGCACGAGGGGCGCAAGCCUGAUGCAGCCAUGCCGCGUGUAUGAAGAAGGCCUUCGGGUUGUAAAGUACUUUCAGCGGGGAGGCUUUACCCGCAGAAGAAGCACCGGCUAACUCCGUGCCAGCAGCCGCGGUAAUUC
rnacentral:rRNA from 1 species